UGUUAAGCUACUAAGGGUGUACGGUGAAUGCCCUGGCAUCAGAAGGCGACGAAGGGCGUAGCUAGCUGCGAUAAGCCUCGGGGAGCCGCAAGCAGGCCGUGAUCCGAGGAUGCCCGAAUGGGGAAACCCAGGCGAUGAAUGCCGCCUAUCCGCUGCUGAAUACAUAGGCAGCGCGAAGCCCACGCAGGGAAGUGAAACAUCUCAGUACCUGCAGGAAAAGAAAGCAAAUGCGAUUCCCCCAGUAGUGGCGAGCGAAAAGGGAAUAGCCCAAACCUCAUCUAUGUCAAGCCCGUGUGCGUUGUAGAUGGGGGGUUGAAGGCCUUUGUCGGACGGUGAUACGGCGCCGUCGACGAGUUACAAAUCAGGAUCUUAGCUGAACGGUCUGGAAAGUCCGGCCAAAGCGGGUGACAGCCCCGUAAGCGAAAAGACCCUGGCUCGUUGGAUAGAGGUCCUGAGUACCACGGGGCCCGAGAAACCUUGUGGGAAUCCGGGACGACCACGUUCCAAGGCUAAAUACUCACUGAUGACCGAUAGCGCACCAGUACCGUGAGGGAAAGGUGAAAAGAACCCCGGUGAGGGGAGUGAAAUAGAACCUGAAACCGUACACCUACAAGCAGCGAAAGGGCUAUGGUCCGCAAGGACAAUGCCUAAUCGUGUGCCUUUUGCUUAAUGAGCCGGCGAGUUAUUCGGCGCAGCAAGGUUAAGCCGGAAAGGCGGAGCCGUAGCGAAAGCGAGUCCGAAUUGGGCGAUGAGUUGCGUCGAAUAGACCCGAAGCGAGGUGAUCUACCCAUGGCCAGGGUGAAUCCGUCGUAACAGACGGAGGAGGCCCGAACCGGUGUUUGUUGCAAAAAGCUCGGAUGAGCUGUGGGUAGGGGUGAAAGGCUAAUCAAACCUCGUUAUUGCUGGUUCUCCCCGAAAUAGCUAGAGGGCUAGCCUCGUGUCAGCCGUGGCGGAGGUAGAGCACUGAAUGAGCUAGGGGCGUUCCAACGCUACCGAACUCAAUCAAACUCCGAAUGCCGCCACUGGACGCACGGGAGUCAGACUACGAGCGCUAAGGUCCGUGGUCAAAAGGAGAAUAGUCCAGACCGCCAGCUAAGGUCCCGAAUCGUGAGCUAAGUGGGAAAGGUUGUAGGGUCGCUCAGACAGCCAGGAGGUUGGCUUAGAAGCAGCCAUCCUUUAAAGAGUGCGUAACAGCUCACUGGUCGAGCGAACCUGCGCCGAAAAUUUAACGGGGCUUAAGUUCACAACCGAAGCUGCGGACUUGCAUCGCAAGAUGCGAGUGGUAGGGGAGCAUUCUCUGUGCGGUGAAGGUCGACCGACAAGGACGGCUGGAGCGCAGAGAAGAGAUUAUGCCGGCAUAAGUAGCGAUAAACGAUGUGAGAAUCAUCGUCCCCGAAAACCUAAGGUUUCCUGGCCUAUGUUCGUCAGGUCAGGGUUAGUCGGUCCCUAAGCCGAGGCCGAAAGGCGUAGGCGAUGGAAAACAGGUUAAUAGUCCUGUACCGCCGUUUGCACGUUAUCAGCGAAGGGGGGACGCAGGAGGGUAGGCACCGCCGGGUCCCUGGAAUACCCGGUCCAAGCAGGUAGGUGGGAUUCGUUGGCAAAUCCGCGAGUCCAUUUAAACACCGAGAUGUGAUGGGGAGGCCGCAAGGCCACAAACGGGCUGAUCCCACACUGCCGAGAAAAGCCUCGUAGCGAGUUGAUAUGGUGACCGUACCGCAAACCGACACAGGUAGGUAGGUGGAAUACACCAAGGGGCGUGAGAGAACACUCCCUAAGGAACUAUGCAAUCUAACCCCGUAACUUCGGAAGAAGGGGUGCCUCGCGUACGUAAGGAGAUUUACUCUCCAAGCCGAACGAGGUUGCAAUAAAGUGGCUCUAGCGACUGUUUACCAAAAACACAGGACUCUGCGAACACGCAAGUGGACGUAUAGGGUCUGACGCCUGCCCGGUGCUGGAAGGUUAACCGGAGGGGUUAGCCGCAAGGCAAAGCUUCGAAGGGAAGCCCCAGUAAACGGCGGCCGUAACUAUAACGGUCCUAAGGUAGCGAAAUUCCUUGUCGGGUAAGUUCCGACCUGCAUGAAUGGCGUAACGACUGGAGCGCUGUCUCGGGGAGUGACUCAGCGAAUUUGUUGUUCCGGUGAAGAAGCCGGGUACCCGCAACUAGACGGAAAGACCCUGUGCACCUUUACUACAACUUGCCAUUGGAUGUUGGAAGGGUCUGUGUAGGAUAGGUGGGAGGCUGUGAAAUCGGGCCGCAAGGUCCGGUGGAGCCAACGUUGAAAUACCACCCUGAUUGUUCUGACAUUCUAAC
rnacentral:rRNA from 1 species